rnacentral:rRNA from 1 species
CCUACGGGUGGCAGCAGUGAGGAAUAUUGGUCAAUGGCCGUAAGGCUGAACCAGCCAAGUCGCGUGAAGGAAGAAGGAUCUAUGGUUUGUAAACUUCUUUUAUAGGGGAAUAAAGGUAUCCACGUGUGGAUAUUUGCAUGUACCCUAUGAAUAAGCAUCGGCUAACUCCGUGCCAGCAGCCGCGGUAAUACGGAGGAUGCGAGCGUUAUUCGGAUUUAUUGGGUUUAAAGGGUUGGUUGGUUGUUUUUUAAGUCAGCCGUUAAAGUUUGUGGCUCAACCAUAAAAUUGCCGUUGAAACUGGAGUACUUGAGUGUGUUUGAGGUAGGCGGAAUGCGUGGUGUAGCGGUGAAAUGCAUAGAUAUCACGCAGAACUCCGAUUGCGAAGGCAGCUUACUGGGGCAUAACUGACGCUGAAGCACGAAAGCGUGGGGAUCGAACAGGAUUAGAUACCCCAGUAGUC